rnacentral:tRNA from 1 species
GGCCGAGUGGCGGAACUGGCAGACGCACGGGACUUAAAAUCCUGUAUCUCGAAAGAGGUGUGUGGGUUCGAAUCCCACCUCGGCCAC